CGUAGCUCAGCUGGAUAGAGCAACGGCCUUCUAAGCCGUGGGUCGGAGGUUCGAAUCCCCUC
rnacentral:tRNA from 1 species